GCAGUAGCCGCGGGAAUACAGAGGGUGCGAGCGUUAAUCGGAUUUACUGGGCGUAGAGCGUGCGUAGGCGGCUUCUUAAGUCGGAUGUGAAAUCCCUGAGCUUAACUUAGGAAUUGCAUUCGAUACUGGGAAGCUAGAGUAUGGGAGAGGAUGGUAGAAUUCCAGGUGUAGCGGUGAAAUGCGUAGAGAUCUGGAGGAAUACCGAUGGCGAAGGCAGCCAUCUGGCCUAAUACUGACGCUGAGGUACGAAAGCAUGGGGAGCAAACAGGAUUAGAUACCCCAGUAGUCCCUGUCUCUUAUAC
rnacentral:rRNA from 1 species